GAAUGAGUAAAAGUAUUGAGCAGAAUCCGGACCAGACUAGUAAGGGGCAACUCUUCAGGGAUAGGCAUGCGCAUUAAAGAGAAGAAGUAUCCUUAAAAUGAAUCUGUAUGAUAAUCAGCUCAUUUAAGCUCAUGCAUAUGGACUGCAUAUCUUUCAUGUAGUUAAAAUUAUGGGAUAGAGGCACGUGAAAGCACACACCCGCCAAAGUAACUAAGCAACACACCUAUCAGUCAAAAGGCAGACACUGGCUAGAGAUUAAGCAGCCUUGGGAAGAGAAG
rnacentral:lncRNA from 10 species